rnacentral:rRNA from 1 species
CCGGUCAACAAUAUUAGAGGCACGCCUGCCCAGUGAACAAUUAAWCGGCCGCGGUAUCCUAACCGUGCAAAGGUAGCGUAAUCAUUUGUCUAUUARKUGUAGACCUGUAUGAAAGGCAAAAUGAGGGCCUAACUGUCUCUUAUAACCAAUCAAUUAAACUGAUCUCCCAGUACAAAAGCUGGGAUACUUACAUAARACCAGAAGACCCUGUGAAGCUUAAACUAAACUAUUAAACCACAUAAUAACUCCUUUUGGUUGGGGCGACCUUGGAAAAAAAAAGAACUUCCAAACAACAGUGAUUUUAACUCACCCACUACCUUAGGCCAACAAGCCAAAUAACGACCCAGCAUUGCUGAUCAAUGAAACAAGUUACUCCAGGGAUAACAGCGCUAUCUUCUUCAAGAGCCCAUAUCAAAAAGAAGGUUUACGACCUCGAUGUUGGAUCAGGACAUCCUAAUGGUGCAGCAGCUAUUAAGGGUUCGUUUGUUCAACGAUUAACAGUCCCACGUGAUCUGAUUUYCAGACCGGRGAUCUGACUUUUUAGGUAAUAAUAAARGUCMCUUAACAGAUAAAAGUUACUCUAGGGAUAACAGGCUUAUCUUUUCCGAGAGUCCUUAUCGACGAAAAGGUUUGGCACCUCGAUGUCGGCUCAUCMCWUCCCUAAACCAWUAGUUUGKUUYU